GCUUAUGAUGAACUUUCCCUACGGCCUGAGCGUCACGCGAUGAGGAAUACAGCCAGGGCUGAUG
rnacentral:ncRNA from 16 species